rnacentral:rRNA from 1 species
AUACGGAGGGGGCUAGCGUUGUUCGGAAUUACUGGGCGUAAAGCGCGCGUAGGCGGGUUGGCAAGUUGAAGGUGAAAUCCCAGGGCUCAACCCUGGAACUGCCUCCAAAACUGCCAGUCUUGAGUUCGGAAGAGGUGAGUGGAAUUCCUAGUGUAGAGGUGAGAUUCGUAGAUAUUAGGAAGAACACCAGUGGCGAAGGCGACUCACUGGUCCGAUACUGACGCUGAGGUGCGAAAGCGUGGGGAGCAAACAGGAUUAGAUACCCCGGUAGUCC